CAGGAACUCAUUAAUAAAUAACCGCAAAUACCCUCUGUUUGAAUAUCGUGCAUUCACUACAAUCUUUACAGAUACUGAUCAGACUCAGUUACUGAGAUUAAUUAACUAAAUGUCUUAGACAAUCUGAAAUCAUGUGGCGCAUCAUCUUUUUGAAGCACAGACACAACUGCACUUUCAUUUUGCCCUGAAAACAACGAAAACUGCAGCUCUGGGACCUCUUGAAAUGAAAUACAUUCUAGUGUAAACGCUGAGCCAUAUUUUAGCCAAUGAAAUGUACAAGCAGCAUCUCUUUCUUUUUCAAGAGGGUGCUGGAGGCCAUAAUGUCUGGGAGCGAAGUGCUAUACUGUAUAUUUAUGUACAUUGUGAUUCUGAAUAUUAUAUAUGUAAAUAUCGGUGUACAUUUUGUUAAACGAACAGAAAGAAAUCUAUGAAAAGCAAACAGGUGAAUUCUUGUAACACUGAUGUGUAUGAUAUUGUUGUACAGUUAAAAGUGUAGAGUAUUUAAUUAUUUUGUACAUUGUGCAAUAGUGUGUGUGUGUUGUACAUGGGGGUAGUGUCUGUUGUAUCAAGUGUGUGUAUGUGUGUUAAAAAAAGCUGUUUUAUUUUUGCUAUUUUGAUGUCGUGAGUCCCUUACCUCCCUUAAUUCACCUCCAGCUGUGAAUUUUGGUUCCUCUGUGAACAUGACUCGCUUAUUUGUGUGUUCAUGCCGCAAAGAUUGUUGAUUAGUGCACUGAAUUAAAGUUUCUUUUAUGCUUUUAAUGUAAACGUUGGUUUAAAUUUGAUGUGGACGUCAGCUUAUCAUACAGACAGCACCUUCCGUUUGCUGCUUCUAGGUUUCGUCAAAAUGUUCACACACUUUUUACAUUUAGUCCAACUAUACUCAGCACAAUCAUUUUCAGUAGUGUUAGAUUAUAGUAACACACACUUAGCUGGGACAUUUUUGCACUUUGUGUCUUAAACAUAUACGAGCACUAAAGAGGAAAGUCAAAAAUAGAGUACUUUUGCACUCUGGAAGUGCUAUUUUAACCAUUAGAAAUAUACUUGAUGUGAAUGUAAAUGUAUUUUUAAUCCCCCAAAGUACUGUAAAGAUCAUCCACAAAUAAUUUAGAAGGGAGGACACCUAUGAAAUGUGUUCCAGUCUACACUUCUGUGCUGUACUAGUCUUAGAUUUAUAAGCAAUAUUUCCGCAGGUAUUUACUUUGGUUGGACGUUGGUCAGAUGGUCUGUGAGGCCACAGGAGCCGCUGUUACUCUGAGAGUAGCAGCAUUGGAGGGCUUCACUGCUGAAGAAGAGCAAUGCUCUUAAAACUUUAGUCAAACCCUAUUCUGUCGGGUGACAGCACAUUCAGAUCACUAGCCACAGCAUACUGUUAGCUAUACAAGGACUAUUUUAAUGUCUCUUAGUCAGUGUCAUUGAUAUUGUACAGUAUUUCCAAUUGACUUGGGAAAAUGCAGAGUUAUGAAUAUUAAAUAUGGACCAUCACAAAAACGAACAAUAAAAAGUUGGUUCUCAUGCUGCAGUGUGUGUUUGUUCUUUGAAAUGCAACUAAUCAUAUUGUUUUCAAUCACAAUAUUAAAAAGAUAACAAAAGCAAGGACACAUAAAAUUAUUAAAUACUGACAGGGAAGACAUUUAUAAUGUUACAA
rnacentral:lncRNA from 1 species